rnacentral:lncRNA from 1 species
UUUUGAUCUCCAACACAUAGAUUUUGCCGGGGAAACUUCCCUUCGGUAGGGAGAAAUUGAAGCCAUCGUCAUCACCAAUGCUUCCUCCUUCGUGAGAGGACCAAUCUUCAUCAACAUCUUAACCAACACCACCUCAUCUCCAACCCCAGUUCAUCUCUAGUAUUCAAUCUUUGUGUGAAAACCUCGGAUUGGUACGUGUGGGUUACUAGUUAUGUUGAUUACAUCUUGUAGUUGAUGCUUGUUGGAUUACUUGGUGGAAGAUAUUAUGUUCAGAUCCUUAAUUAUCAUUAUUAC